rnacentral:rRNA from 1 species
UACGGGGGGAGCAAGCGUUGUUCGGAUUUACUGGGCGUAAAGGGCGCGUAGGCGGUCGUGACAAGUCACUUGUGAAAUCUCCGGGCUUAACUCGGAACGGUCAAGUGAUACUGUCGGACUAGAGUACAGAAGGGGCAACUGGAAUUCUCGGUGUAGCGGUGAAAUGCGUAGAUAUCAAGAGGAACACCUGCGGCGAAGGCGGGUUGCUGGGCUGACACUGACGCUGAAGUGCGAAAGCUAGGGGAGCGAACGGG